rnacentral:lncRNA from 1 species
ACUCGAACAGGAUCGGUAUUCCAAUAAGAGUAACUGACCUCGCCUCUCCUCUGUCUCUUAACUACUCUCCUAUUGCUCCCGAACCUACCUAUCCGAUUUCUUGCUUACCUCUUUUCUUUGGUUAAAGAUGAGACCUUGCUUGCCUACCAAAAGUCAGUGGUCAAAAGAAAGCGGGGAAGAAUAGGAUUGAGUGAGCUCCGUAUGUAUGUGUAUGAUAGAGGAUUGAGCUAUAUAUGUGAUAUAAAGAAUAGGAUGGAUUGCUCUGAACCAACCGAAGUGGGUGCUCUGAACCAACCGGCGGGCUAUCUUUCUUGCCUACCCAUCUAAAAGUCCUUAUCUGAGACCCUAAAUCUUAUAG